AGAAUAGAAAAGAACAGCCCAGAGACUCUGCCAGUUGGCACAUUGCCAUUGUGGACGUUUGUAUCUGGUUUGCUUAGUCCAAAGCCUUCAGUUCAGACAAAGAUAGAGGAACAAAGCGACCAGGUGUUUAUCCACGAUAUCGUGGAGAAAGGCAUCGGGCUCCAUUGCCAAAAAAUGGACAGGGGGGCCCAAUGCUCGGGGCCCAAAACCACAAAUAUACAGAGCACUGGAGGAACCCAGCAACCCCAUCAGGGUAGUGCCCAGGACACAUUGUCC
rnacentral:lncRNA from 1 species